UACGAAGGGGGGCUAGCGUUGCUCGGAAUCACUGGGCGUAAAGGGUGCGUAGGCGGGUCUUUUAAGUCAGGGGUGAAAUCCUGGAGCUCAACUCCAGAACUGCCUUUGAUACUGAGGAUCUUGAGUUCGGGAGAGGUGAGUGGAACUGCGAGUGUAGAGGUGAAAUUCGUAGAUAUUCGCAAGAACACCAGUGGCGAAGGCGGCUCACUGGCCCGAUACUGACGCUGGAGGCACGAAAGCGUGGGGAGCAAACAGGGA
rnacentral:rRNA from 1 species